rnacentral:rRNA from 1 species
AUUGAACGCUGGCGGCAGGCCUAACACAUGCAAGUCGAGCGGUAACAGGAAGAAGCUUGCUUCUUUGCUGACGAGUGGCGGACGGGUGAGUAAUGUCUGGGAAACUGCCUGAUGGAGGGGGAUAACUACUGGAAACGGUAGCUAAUACCGCAUAACGUCACAAGACCAAAGAGGGGGACCUUCUGGCCUCUUGCCAUCGGCUGUGCCCAGAUGGGAUUAGCUAGUAGGUGGGGUAACGGCUCACCUAGGCGACGAUCCCUAGCUGGUCUGAGAGGAUGACCAGCCACACUGGAACUGAGACACGGUCCAGACUCCUACGGGAGGCAGCAGUGGGGAAUAGUGCACAAUGGGCGCAAGCCUGAUGCAGCCAUGCCGCGUGUAUGAAGAAGGCCUUCGGGUUGUAAAGUACUUUCAGCGGGGAGGAAGGGAGUAAAGUUAAUACCUGUGCUCAUUGACGUUACCCGCAGAAGAAGCACCGGCUAACUCCGUG